GUUCUCGUCCGAUCACCGAAGUUAAGCAAAGUUGAGCCUGUUUAGUACCUAGAUGAGUAAGUGCUUGGGAAUACCAGGUGCUGUG